GAUGAACGCUGGCGGCGUGCCUAAUACAUGCAAGUCGAGCGAACAGACGAGGAGCUUGCUCCUCUGACGUUAGCGGCGGACGGGUGAGUAACACGUGGAUAACCUACCUAUAAGACUGGGAUAACUUCGGGAAACCGGAGCUAAUACCGGAUAAUAUAUUGAACCGCAUGGUUCAAUAGUGAAAGACGGCUUUGCUGUCACUUAUAGAUGGAUCCGCGCCGCAUUAGCUAGUUGGUAAGGUAACGGCUUACCAAGGCAACGAUGCGUAGCCGACCUGAGAGGGUGAUCGGCCACACUGGAACUGAGACACGGUCCAGACUCCUACGGGAGGCAGCAGUAGGGAAUCUUCCGCAAUGGGCGAAAGCCUGACGGAGCAACGCCGCGUGAGUGAUGAAGGUCUCGGAUCGUAAAACUCUGUUAUUAGGGAAGAACAAAUGUGUAAGUAACUAUGCACGUCUUGACGGUACCUAAUCAGAAAGCCACGGCUAACUACGUG
rnacentral:rRNA from 1 species